GUCAUUCAAUCUCAGAACUCCUCGGCCCUUUUCCCUCCAAGAAUGCAGCACGGUAUCGAACAGAAACAAACGGCAGUUACUCUGCAAGGACAUUUCGAUCU